CUAGGAAUCUUGGGAAUGGGCGAAAGCCUGACCCAGCAACGCCGCGUGGGCGAUGAAGGCCUUCGGGUUGUAAAGCCCUUUUGCGGGGGACGAUGAUGACGGUACCCCGCGAAUAAGCCACGGCUAACUACGUGCCAGCAGCCGCGGUAAUACGUAGGUGGCAAGCGUUGUCCGGAUUUACUGGGCGUAAAGGGCGUGCAGGCGGUCUGUUAAGUCUAGGGUGAAAGCUCCCGGCUCAACUGGGAGAGGUCCUUGGAUACUGGCGGACUUGAGGGAGGCAGAGGAGAAUAGAAUUCCCGGUGUAGUGGUGAUAUGCGUAGAUAUCGGGAGGAAUACCAGUGGCGAAGGCGGUUCUCUGGGCCUUACCUGACGCUGAGACGCGAAAGCGUGGGGAGCGAACCG
rnacentral:rRNA from 1 species